rnacentral:rRNA from 1 species
AGAGUUUGAUCCUGGCUCAGAACGAACGCUGGCGGCAGGCUUAACACAUGCAAGUCGAACGCCCCGCAAGGGGAGUGGCAGACGGGUGAGUAACGCGUGGGAACGUACCCUUCGGUUCGGAAUAACCCAGGGAAACUUGGGCUAAUACCGGAUACGUCCGCAAGGAGAAAGGUUUACUGCCGAAGGAUCGGCCCGCGUCGGAUUAGCUAGUUGGUGGGGUAACGGCCCACCAAGGCGACGAUCCGUAGCUGGUCUGAGAGGAUGAUCAGCCACACUGGGACUGAGACACGGCCCAGACUCCUACGGGAGGCAGCAGUGGGGAAUAUUGGACAAUGGGCGAAAGCCUGAUCCAGCCAUGCCGCGUGAGUGAAGAAGGCCCUAGGGUUGUAAAGCUCUUUCAGCGGGGACGAUAAUGACGGUACCCGCAGAAGAAGCCCCGGCUAACUUCGUGCCAGCAGCCGCGGUAAUACGAAGGGGGCUAGCGUUGUUCGGAUUUACUGGGCGUAAAGCGCGCGUAGGCGGAUUGUUAAGUCAGGGGUGAAAUCCCAGGGCUCAACCCUGGAACUGCCUUUGAUACUGGCAAUCUGGAGAUCGGGAGAGGUUGGUGGAAUUCCGAGUGUAGAGGUGAAAUUCGUAGAUAUUCGGAGGAACACCAGAAGCGAAGGCGGCCAACUGGCCCGAUACUGACGCUGAGGCGCGAAAGCGUGGGGAGCAAACAGGAUUAGAUACCCCGGUAGUCCACGCCGUAAACGAUGAAUGCCA